rnacentral:rRNA from 1 species
GACGAACGCUGGCGGCGUGCUUAACACAUGCAAGUCGAACGGAAAGGCCUGCUUUUCCUUGUGGAUUGCGGGUACUCGAGUGGCGAACGGGUGAGUAACACGUGAGUGAUCUGCCCCCAACUUGGGUAUAAGCCUGGGAAACUGGGUCUAAUUCUAGAUAGGACUGCAGGGUGGUGUCUGGGGUGGCAAACGUUUUUCUAGUGGUUGGUGAUGAGCUCGCGGACUAUCAGCUUGUUGGUGGGGUAAUGGCCUACCAAGGCGGGGACUGGUAGCCGGAGUGGGAGGGGGGACAGUCACAUUGGGACACGGUCACGACCCAGACGCGUGCGGGAAGCAGGAGUGGGGCAGAUAGCAGAGUAAGCGUGAGGCAGAAGCGGCGAGGGCGUGUGGAGGAUGACGGGAUUCGAGUUGUAUGCUACUUGGGACCGCGAGGAGGCCACCUAAUUGGGAGGGUGGUGACGGUAGUGGUAGAAAAAGCAACGGCUAACUACGUG